GACGAACGCUGGCGGCGUGCUUAACACAUGCAAGUCGAACGGAAAGGCCCUGCUUUUGUGGGGUGCUCGAGUGGCGAACGGGUGAGUAACACGUGAGUAACCUGCCCUUGACUUUGGGAUAACUUCAGGAAACUGGGGCUAAUACCGGAUAGGAGCUCCUGCUGCAUGGUGGGGGUUGGAAAGUUUCGGCGGUUGGGGAUGGACUCGCGGCUUAUCAGCUUGUUGGUGGGGUAGUGGCUUACCAAGGCUUUGACGGGUAGCCGGCCUGAGAGGGUGACCGGCCACAUUGGGCCUGCGAUACGGCCCAGACUCCUACGGGAGGCAGCAGUGGGGAAUAUUGCACAAUGGGCGGAAGCCUGAUGAAGCAACGCCGCGUGCGGGAUGACGGCCUUCGGGUUGUAAACCGCUUUCGCCUGUGACGAAGCGUGAGUGACGGUAAUGGGUAAAGAAGCACCGGCUAACUACGUG
rnacentral:rRNA from 1 species